rnacentral:lncRNA from 1 species
GGUAAUGGUCGCGAACAUUGGGCGUCUUGUAAGGGAGGACCGAGGAGGGCUUCGAGGAGUGGUGGGGAGGGAGGGAUGAGGAUUGAUCCAUGGAUAGUGAACGAAAUAUGCGAUCUUGCGCUUUCGCAAGAAAAACUGGAUUUUCAGGUGCUUAUCCUGACAAAGAUUGCUUCUUUCUGGUUUCUGAAAUGGAUUUCUUGGUCGAUGAGCUAGCUUUCAGGGAUGAGGGCCGAGGCUUCGUGCCGGUCGCAAGAAAAACUGGAUUUUUAGGUGCUUCGCCUGACAAAGAUUGCUUCUUUCUGGUUUCUGUAAUGGGUUUCUUGGACGAUGAGCUAGCUUUCAGGGCUGAGGGCGGAGACUUCUCGCCGGUCGCAAGAAAGACUGGAUUUUUAGGUGCUUCGCCUGACAAAGAUUGCUUCUUUCUGGUUUCUGGAUUGGAUUUCUUGGACGAUGAGCCAGCUUUCAGGGAUGAGGGUAGAGGCUUCUUGCCGGAGGAGGGAGAAGUUGCGAUUUAGAGUUCCACAUUUCGUAGUUCACGAGAUUUUUUGCAGUGUUGUGGUGAAGAAUAAGGGAGAAGCAGAGAGAGCGAUGGACUUGCAGGUGAAAGACCAAGGGUUGAGAACACAAAAAGGAGACCAGGUCACCUCUGCUCCUAUAGAUAGGAAAACGUAAACAAUACAAGAAUGUUUCUCUUUUUGCACCUCUCUCUCUCUCUCUCUCUGUGUUUGCAGAGUAGCCCACGGGAAAACUGAGAAAAAGUUUGAUGGGAAGAACUGAAGUCAAUUUGUGCUCACAGGGCUGAUCUUCUUGCAAUACUUUUCAAAUACCCACUGGAUUUCUGUAACAAAAAUCUUCUGGGGGAAGGAGGUCAAUGUUUUCUGACAGACUUAACAUAGAUCAUUCCAUGUGGCCAUCGUAUGAGAGAUCUCUGAAAGAUUCAGUCAAACUGAAAGGAAGAAUUAAACCUUGAUUUCAGGCGACAAUAAAUCAAUCAGCAAAAUCAUCCGUAUCAGUUGUCUGCUCUUCUCAAGACCAUC